GCCGAAGUGGCGAAAUUUGGUAAACGCAGUUGAUUCAAAAUCAAUCACCUUAUGGUUUGUCGGUUCGAUUCCGGCCUUCGGCA
rnacentral:tRNA from 1 species